CACCCAACACCCAGAACAUCAACCGGGCCCAUCAACACCCAGAAACCAUCAACCGGCCCACCCAACAACCAGAACCAUCAACCGGGCCCACCCAACACCCAGACCCUGCAGGACCAAGUCUCUCAGCACUCUGCACACAACCCAGCAGUGAGUUCAUUGGCCCACAGUGAGGAACAGGGGAGGGUUUCAGGAAGGGGCGAGGCUGACGAAAGGGAACUCCUGGACAUCACUUUUGAGGCGUGUGACGUCAUGGCAACAGGUCAGGUGCGUGGCUCAGAUGUACUGCGGUACCUGCGUUCUGUGAUUGGUCAGAGCAGCGGUCAUGAAGAGCUGGUGUUGCUGCAAAGCAUGCUGGACCCUCAGGGGGCGGACCCAGCACUGAACCGGCUCAGAUUCCACUCCGUCAUGAACGCCUGGAUACGCACUGCAACCAGCAGAGGUACCUCACACACACACACACACACACACACACACACACACACACACACACACUCCAUCAUGAACGC
rnacentral:lncRNA from 1 species